UACGAAGGGGGCUAGCGUUGCUCGGAAUCACUGGGCGUAAAGCGCACGUAGGCGGCUUUCUAAGUCAGGGGUGAAAUCCUGGAGCUCAACUCCAGAACUGCCUUUGAUACUGGCGAGCUUGAGUCCGGGAGAGGUGAGUGGAACUGCGAGUGUAGAGGUGAAAUUCGUAGAUAUUCGCAAGAACACCAGUGGCGAAGGCGGCUCACUGGCCCGGUACUGACGCUGAGGUGCGAAAGCGUGGGGAGCAACAGG
rnacentral:rRNA from 1 species